rnacentral:sRNA from 1 species
ACUUGUGCAGAAAUGUACAUGUUGAUAAGAAGUGAGGCGUCGAGGAGGGGGCAGGAAGCUUCUUGCUUUUAUGGCUCGUGUGAUUCGUUUUUAUUGAAAGUUUUUUUUAUGGCAACUGGUACCGUUAAGUGGUUCAAUGACUCCAAAGGCUUUGGCUUCAUCACUCCUGAUGAUGGCGGCGAGGAUUUGUUCGCACACUUCUCCGCGAUCAACAUGAAUGGCUUCAAGACCCUGAAAGAAGGUCAAAAAGUUCAGUUCGAAGUCACCCAAGGCCCUAAAGGCAAGCAAGCUUCCAACAUCCAGUCGAUGUAAGCAAUAGCUUUUUUGGAAGUAAGAAACCCCGCAAUCGUGGGGUUUUUUUUU